rnacentral:rRNA from 1 species
CUAAGAAUAUUCCGCAAUGGACGAAAGUCUGACGGAGCGACGCCGCGUGGAUGAUGAAGGCCGGAAGGUUGUAAAAUCCUUUUGUCGGGGAAGAAUAAGCGUGGGAGGGAAUGCCCGCGUGAUGACAUGAACCGGCGAAUAAGCCCCGGCUAACUACGUGCCAGCAGCCGCGGUAACACGUAGGGGGCAAGCGUUGUUCGGAAUUACUGGGCGUAAAGGGCAUGUAGGCGGUUUUGUAAGCCUGACGUGAAAGGCUAUGGCUUAACCAUGGCACUGCGUUGGGAACUGCGAGACUUGAAUCACGGAGGGGGAGCUGGAAUUCCAGGUGUAGGGGUGAAAUCUGUAGAUAUCUGGAAGAACACCAGUGGCGAAGGCGAGCUCCUGGCCGAUGAUUGACGCUGAGGUGCGAAAGUGUGGGGAUCAAACA